rnacentral:rRNA from 1 species
AUAUGGAGGGUGCGAGCGUUAAUCGGAAUUACUGGGCGUAAAGCGCGCGUAGGCGGCUAAGUAAGUCGGAUGUGAAAGCCCUGGGCUCAACCUGGGAAUUGCAUUCGAUACUGCUUGGCUAGAGUAUGGUAGAGGGUAGUGGAAUUCCUGGUGUAGCGGUGAAAUGCGUAGAUAUCAGGAGGAACAUCAGUGGCGAAGGCGGCUACCUGGACCAAUACUGACGCUAAGGUGCGAAAGCGUGGGGAGCAAACAGGAUUAGAAACCCCAGUAGUCC